AUUGAACGCUGGCGGCAGGCCUAACACAUGCAAGUCGAACGAGUGGCGGACGGGUGAGUCAUGUCUGGGAACCUGCCUGAUGGCGGGGGAUAACUACUGGAAACGGUAGCUAAUCCCGCAUACCAUCAGCUGGGCACAGAUGGGAUUAGCUUGUUGGUGGGGUAACGGCUCACCAAGGCGACGAUCCCUAUCUGGUCUGAGAGGAUGACCAGCAACACUGGAACUGAGACACGGUCCAGACUCCGACGUGAGGCAGCAGUGGGGAAUAUUGCACAAUGGGCGCAAGCCUGAUGCAGCCAUGCCGCGUGUAUGAAGAAGGCCUUCGGGUUGUAAAGUACUUUCAGAGGGGAGGCGUUACCCGCAGAAGAAGCACCGGCUAACUCCGUGCCAGCCGCCGCGGUAAUUC
rnacentral:rRNA from 1 species